GGGGGAUUAGCUCAGCUGGGGAGAGCACCUGCUUUGCAAGCAGGGGGGGUCGUCGGUUCGAUCCCGUCAUCCUCCACCA
rnacentral:tRNA from 1 species